rnacentral:rRNA from 1 species
GAUGAACGCUAGCGGCAGGCCUAAUACAUGCAAGACGAGGGUUAGCAAUAACACCGUCGCACGGGUGCGUAACGCGUAUGCAACCUACCUAUCACGAGGGGGAUAGCCUUUGGAAACAGGGAUUAAUACCGCAUAAUACUAUUUAGUGGCAUUAUUAGAUAGUUAAAGAUUUAUCGGUGAUAGAUGGGCAUGCGUCUGAUUAGUUAGAUGGUGAGGUAACGGCUCACCAUGGCGAUGAUCAGUAGGGGGCGUCAGAGGUUGGUCCCCCACACUGGUACUGAGACACGGACCAGACUCCUACGGGAGGCAGCAGUGAGGAAUAUUGGUCAAUGGGCGGGAGCCUGAACCAGCCAAGUCGCGUGAAGGAAGAAGGAUCUAUGGUUCGUAAACUUCUUUUGCAGGGGAAUAAAGUGCAGGACGUGUCCUGUUUUGUAUGUACCCUGAGAAUAAGGAUCGGCUAACUCCGUG